ACCUCUGCUGCCACUGCCACUGAUAGAUGGAUCGAGUGGUUGGAUAUGAUCGGGAGGAGAAGGAUAGCAAAGGAAUGAACUUUUGGACGCCGACACUGAUCGAUGGACUUUAAGUAUAUGACUGUUGGAGGAGAUGUCGGUCAUCUUUUGAAGUAUAGCCGAGUAUAGAAGAUUAUGGCAUUUUGAUGUACCAAUGAAUGAUGUCCAUCUGGUUUAAGUAAAUAAAAGUGUUUGGCUUUUACCUAUAAAUGUCUUAAUUGGUGUGCAUCGUUUUCUGAAUAUAGGGAAGGGAGUUGUUGGAUAUGCUUCCGUUAUAUGAACUGCGCAAGGGGCUGAUCUAAAAGAUGUAAACCCCCAGGUUGUAUGGACCCGCUGCAAUUGAAAUGGUAUCAGAGUGACAUAUUAUCAGGUUAAGUGAAGGGUAAGUGGUCUGUGGCGACCCUAAUGGUUCGGGGUCCGUCGAGGGGUGCCACAUGGUCUCACCAACAGAUUAACAUCACACCAGAGGAACAUAAUAUCCAUCGUAUUGAUGCCUGGUUAAGAAAUCUAUUAGCUCAGAGAACUGUCUUACUUGAUUUGGCGACGCUCGCGUAUAUACUGUGGCAGAUUUGGAAAGCGAGGAAUAACUUCGUCUUUUGCACAGUUCGCCCAGAUCCAUUACAGGUGGUUCAAAUUGCUCUUGUGAAUGCCCUUGUAGAUUGUCGCCUAUAUGAAGUGCGACUGGAAUCUCCAAUCCCAUCCUCUGAAUCUAAUCGGGUGUGGCGAACUCCGGCUCUUGGAAUCUUGAAGAUCAACAUUGAUGGAGCUUUUAUCCCAACGUCUCAUGAAGGCUCUGUGGCCUUGAUUACUCGAGAUCAUACUGGUCAGAUCGUUGCUAGAUUUACAAGGCGUGUCGCGGCCUCUUCGGCGCUGUAGACGGAAACUCAAGCUUUAAAUCUCACCCUUCGAGAAUUGUUGCAAAAAGGACAAGCGGAUCGAUCUCUUACCUUGGAAUCGGACUGCAAGAACUUAGUAGAUGCUGUGAAAAACCCUCACUUAACGCCAUGGGAGAUACGAGCACUGAUUGCAGAGGCUGCGGCGUUGCUCCAAGGGUUUCCUAAUCUGUGUGUAGUACACUGCCAUCGAGAAGCGAACGAAGCCGCCAACUGGGCUGCCAAAACCCACGAAGCUGGAAGCCCUCCGAAUUGGCCCUUUUCUAUUCCCCCUCUUUUGGAUAUUGUCUCUACUGACCUUAUGGCAAAUGGUGUAAAUCAUCGUUAAUGUUAUAAAAUAUUUCCUUUUUC
rnacentral:lncRNA from 1 species